rnacentral:rRNA from 1 species
UACAGAGGUCCCGAGCGUUGUUCGGAUUCAUUGGGCGUAAAGGGUGCGUAGGCGGUUUGCUAAGUUUGAUGUGAAAUCCCGGGGCUCAACCCUGGAAUUGCAUUGAAUACUGGCGGACUAGAGUCCUGGAGAGGAAACUGGAAUUUACGGCGUAGCAGUGAAAUGCGUAGAGAUCGUAAGGAAGACCAGUGGCGAAGGCGAGUUUCUGGACAGGUACUGACGCUGAGGCACGAAGGCCAGGGGAGCAAACGGG